UCGGGGCUCAUUCACUCAGCUCAUGAAUUUGACUGUGUGGUGAGUCCAUCUGCAGAUGGUUGGAUUAAACUUACCGAAAAGACAGAUCUGACUUUACUCUUUUAUUGACAGAAAUUUCCACCACAAUUUUGGCGACGAGGAUGGGAUCACUUCUGUGAGAGAGCGCCUUAAACUCAGUGCAGACGGUUCAAAGGGUACCCGGGAGCUCGGACUCCAAAACCUCAACCUCGCCAUCAAAGGAGCAGAGACGUGAGGGCCUGACGCCUGAGACAAGGUGGCUCGCUCACAGCUGUGAUCUACAGAACCGUGUGGAAGCUGUCUUCUCGCUGACGAUGGAGAGGCGCACGACUGUGUUGCUAUCAUUAAUGAAGUUUGCUCCCCCAGAUCUGAUCUGCAGGAAGUGCCACUUCAGAAUGCAGACCUGGAACUGUUUGUGGAUGGCUCAGCAUCAAGGGACCCAGGGACAGGAAAGAACCAAACAGGGUUUGCAGUCACAACAUUACAUGACAUUGUUCUAGCUGAACCUCUCCCCUCAAACUAUUCCGCUCAAGCCGCAGAGCUUGUAGCCUUAACAAAAGCAUGCACAUUGGCAAAGGGGAAGUCUGUCAACAUUUUCACAGACAGUCGUUAUGCCUGGGGAGUUUGUCAUUCAUUUGGCCAAAUUUGGGCAAACAGAAAAUUCCUGACGGCUUCAGGAAAGCCAAUUGCACAUCACACAUUGGUUGCCUCCCUCCUCGAUGCUUUGCUGCUACCAAAACAAAUCGCUGUCUGUAAAUGUGAAGCUCACACUAACAAACCUGACCUCAUUUCACAGGGAAACGCCAGAGCAGACGCUGCUGCGAAGACAGCAGCUAAGCAGCGACUAACAAAACAAUGUGUUGUUAUCCCUGCCUCACCACUGACACCUUUCGCAGAUUUGCAGGACCUACAAGCGAAAGCCACUCCACAGGAGAAGGCCAACUGGAGACAAGCUGGUUGCGCUGUCAAAGAGAAUGUUUGGUAUGGUCCUAACAACAAACCGUGCUUGCCCAAAUAUCUUUUUCCUCACUAUGCUAAGUUGACACAUGGACGAGAUCAUGUGUCAAAAGGGGGAAUGAUGAGUGAGAUACAAAGAUAUUGGUUCACAAAGGGCUUCUCAGCCUUCUCCCAAACUUUUUGCAAAAGGUGUGUGAUCUGUGCCACAAACAAUGCAGGGGAGGUCUUCGGACGCAACAGGGCGCCCAUCCACCCCCUGAAAGACCAUUUGAUCAUUCACAAAUGGAUUUCACUGAACUAAUGCCUAGUGAGGGAAAGAAAUACUGUCUCGUGGUGGUUGACAUGUUUUCUAAGUGGGUGAAAGCCUUCCC